AGAGCGAACGCUGGCGGCAAGCUUAACACAUGCAAGUCGAGCGGGCGUAGCAAUACGUCAGCGGCAGACGGGUGAGUAACGCGUGGGAACAUACCUUUUGGUUCGGAACAACACAGGGAAACUUGUGCUAAUACCGAAUAAGCCCUUACGGGGAAAGAUUUAUCGCCGAAAGAUUGGCCCGCGUCUGAUUAGCUAGUUGGUGAGGUAACGGCUCACCAAGGCGACGAUCAGUAGCUGGUCUGAGAGGAUGAUCAGCCACAUUGGGACUGAGACACGGCCCAAACUCCUACGGGAGGCAGCAGGUGGGAAUAUUGGACAAGUGGGCGCAAGCCUGAUCCAGCCAUGCCGCGUGAGUGAUGAAGGCCCUAGGGUUGUAAAGCUCUUUUGUGCGGGAAGAUAAUGACGGUACCGCAAGAAGUAACGCCCGGCUAACGUUCGCGCCAGCAGCCGC
rnacentral:rRNA from 1 species